AGUAGAAUGCCUGAUAAAAGGGUUACUUUGAUAGAGUAAAUAAUAUGCCCGUGCAUUUCUAUUA
rnacentral:tRNA from 1 species